AUCGCGGAUCAGAAUGCCGCGGUGGAUACGUUCCCUGGCCUUGUACACACCGCCCGUCACACCAUGGGAGCCGGUAAUACCCGAAGUCAGUAGCCUAACCGCAAGGGGGGGCGCUGCCGAAGGUAGGAUUGGCGACUGGGGUGAAGUCGUAACAAGGUAGC
rnacentral:rRNA from 1 species